CGUUAUGGUGGCUUUGCGCGGGGCACUUUCGAGUGCGCUGGAUUUGCUCCGUAUCCGGUCUGCUAACCCGUGUCAAAGCCACCACCUGA
rnacentral:antisense_RNA from 1 species